rnacentral:rRNA from 1 species
CCUACGGGAGGCAGCAGUGGGGAAUAUUGGACAAUGGGCGAAAGCCUGAUCCAGCAAUGCCGCGUGAGUGAUGAAGGCCUUAGGGUUGUAAAGCUCUUUUACCAGGGAUGAUAAUGACAGUACCUGGAGAAUAAGCUCCGGCUAACUCCGUGCCAGCAGCCGCGGUAAUACGGAGGGAGCUAGCGUUGUUCGGAAUUACUGGGCGUAAAGCGUACGUAGGCGGUUAUUCAAGUCAGAGGUGAAAGCCUGGAGCUCAACUCCAGAACUGCCUUUGAAACUAGAUAGCUAGAAUCUUGGAGAGGUGAGUGGAAUUCCGAGUGUAGAGGUGAAAUUCGUAGAUAUUCGGAAGAACACCAGUGGCGAAGGCGACUCACUGGACAAGUAUUGACGCUGAGGUACGAAAGCGUGGGGAGCAAACAGGAUUAGAUACCCUGGUAGCCCACGCCGUAAACGAUGAUAACUAGCUGUUCGGGCUCUACGAGCUUGUAGUGGNGCAGCUACGACAUUAAGUUAGUCCGUCCGUCGGGUAGGUACGGUCGGCGAAGAAGUUAAACGUUAACGUAAAGUUAAGUUAAGUAGUUACGUUGUAGAGNGCGACGACGACGACGACGGAGGAGGAG